AUUUUACAAUGCUGUAGUUUCUUCAAAUCAAGUAUUUAAAACUCGACUAUUCCGGAAAAAACAGAAAGUUUAACACUUUUGCAAAAUUGCCAACUUAUAAUUAUAUAAUCAACUAAUCAUCUCCAAAAAAAAAUGAUUACAUCUUGCAUUUUAUGCACAAAAAAUAAUCCCUUUAUAACCUCUGAAUGAAAAGUUAUUUAAAAGAAAAAAUUACCGAGUAUUAAAAUAUAGAAGUUGGAUUGUGUAUGGAUAAUGAGGACGUCACCUAUGUAUCUGACAUUAUAAAUAGAUUAAAUGGAAAAGACAAAGAGGUAGAAGAAGCACAUACAAAGUUGUUUACUGUUGACGCCAUUUUCAACGUCCAAAAUGACUGUGUUUUAGACAAGACUAAGGCAGCAUCCCAGAGGAGCACCUCAUAAUUGCCAUAUGCCGCCAAACCCCACCCAGUUUCAUGGGCUGGUGUUACGUCAGACGAAAGAAAAUGGCCCUCAUAUUCAUUGAUUAGGGUGUGAGUAUCAACCAAACGUCUACAAGGACAUGUUGGUCCACAAAACCCUACCCUGGCUCCAGGAAAACAUAUUAUGAUGCUCCUUACCUCUUCAGCCGAAAAAACCUUUCAUAUUUCAAAAAAGUCCUUGAUGUGAAUCCCAUGGAAUUUUCUAAGUGAUACAACCUUCAGCCCAGCGAUUGUAGCAAGCGCCCAACCCCCACAUCCAGAUACACUUUGAAACAAAUCUUCAUCCAGGAAUGGGUCAAUAUAUUCAACGAAACUGUCCGUGCAGGUUGGUAUUUCGAACAAAAUGAUUUAAUUUUACAAUUUCAUCUUGUACACAAA
rnacentral:lncRNA from 1 species